AGAGACAGCUGUUUGUCCCCCAGUAUCCUUCAGACAAAGCCAUAUAUGAUUGAAGGUUAUCAGUACUGUGCUUUUGGAGGAUUCAGAAGAAGUUAUAUCUGAUUGGGAGAUUGAAAAGGAUUGGCCUGAAGGAGAGGUGGUUUUUGAACUGCAUCUUAAAGGAUGAGGAAACUGAGGCUGAGAGGGUAGAGAACUUUGCCUGAGGUCACUCAGCAGGGACCCACCCAUCACAGUAAAUGCCAGCACUGCUGAUGCCAAAACAAUGUUAUUUGUAGGCCCUCGGAAUUUGUGACCUGAAGGAAGAAGAGCAGGGCCGUGGGAAGUAUGUAACCAGUGUCAUGCCCCUGGUCCCAAGGAAGCAGUGGCUUGGCCUGAACACCCUGUCCUACCUGGUCCUACCUGGAUGCUGGCCUCAGUAAGCUCCUGGGCUCAUUGAAGAUGAACCUAGCAGUAGUAUUUACACCACUUGUUGUGUGCCCACUGUGGGCCCGGCGCCAUGCCGAGUGCUCUAUGGAUGUGAGAUGAGAACACUGAAGCAGUUUUUUCUAAAGAUAGCUGCCUGGCACAGUGGCUCACAUCUGUAGUCCCAGCAUUUGGGGAGGCCAAGGCAGGUGGAUCACUUGAGGCCAGGAAUUCAAGACCAGCAUGGCCAACAUGUGCUGGGAGAGAAAAGCAUACGACAUAGACAGGGAGGUCAAGCUCCACCACGCAGAUGAGGUGCAGGCCACCAGUCUUCCUCUGCCACAUCUCUUUCUGAAAAGGCAGCCUGUGCUGAGAAACCAUGACUGAGUAAGCCAAGCUUUGUUGGCCGCACCUGCCAAGCCACAGGGUGCCUCAGGCUUGGAGCAUCCCGGAGCCAGUUACAACCCAAGACUUCAGCCUUCUGGAAGGUGUUGGGUCAGCCACCCUGAAGGACGAUCCUGCCCAAGUGACAUGCUUUGCUCUUCCUUCUCACCCAGGACUUCACAUUCACCCUUGCAAUCCAUGUGGGGACACUGUUGGAUAGGAGGCGUGGUCCCAGCGUGGUCUCCCUGUCUGGGCCUCUGCCUAUGCCAAAUGUUUGCCUUACGCUGCACACUCAAGAGGUUCCAUGUAUACAGAUGGGAAUUCCAGAGCUACAGAAAAGGCAGCAAGCACCAUGAUUUAAGCUAACCAGUGUGGAUUCACACCUUCCUCUCUCUCUAUCAGUGGCAGAACUACCAGCUAGAGUAAGAAGUGGUUGAUCCAGGACCUAAACAUUCUGGAAACUCUUGCCCACUUCUGGGAGAAAUGACCCAAUCCAUAGUACUAAGCACACCUUAACUUUCGUAGGACGCAGGCAAGUUGUCAUACCGUGUGCCUAAAUAUAGAAAAAUGAUCCACUGGACUAAUAAAGUGUUAAAUAAAAUAUGUCCUGACUGUC
rnacentral:lncRNA from 1 species